CAGCAAGCGAGACAAAACGCCUUGCCGCUGCAAAUAUCAUUAAAAACCGACGGCGAGGAUAAUUUUUUCCCUGGUGUUGGCGCAAUAUUCGCGCACCCCGGCAUCAGU
rnacentral:sRNA from 1 species